AUAUAAUCUCAACCCCUUUUUCUUUUUGUUGAAGGGUUUUGGAUGUGGGGGGUUUGCUGGCCUUCUUAAAGAGGGUUCAGCUCUCCUGAAAUGCAUUAGCAGAAACGACCUUGCUCAUUGGUGUGAUAACUAUCAACGCUUAUGAACGUGAGGGGCAGUUCAGCUUUCUAACCGUCUUUGGACAAUUCAUCAUUA
rnacentral:misc_RNA from 1 species